rnacentral:rRNA from 1 species
CGACAAGUGUCGACAUUGUUCAUCGGCGCCGUUCACAUCCGAGUUGGCAUCGUCGGCUUCUGGCCCGCUGACCAGUUGGUUGCGAAUCAUUUGCAGCAUUUGAUAGAAGCUGUACAACGGGAAGCUUGAUGUGACCAUGUUGGACGGUAUGGCGACAAGUGCAUUCGGCUCUUGUGGACUGUUCAGCGCUUCACGCAGUUCACCAACACUGGUUGUCAUAUCGAUCAGUCGACUCGGAACCAUGACCGUGUCUUUUCCGCUGGACAGCGGUCAAAAAAUUGUCAAGCGCUUUGACAAUUGAUCUGGUCGUACAUUCACCUUGACUGAGGCACAGAACCUGACCACGACCGCCGUUAUUGUUUAGCCGAUCCAUUGGAAUUGACAACGAUGAUGCGGGCCUUUUCUUUAUUAUCUGUCUAUCUGAGCGAUUCUGCCUGCUUGUUGUUUAAAGUUUAAACUUGCCUCAAGCGCUCGUUGUUUGCUGCUCGUCGUCGGCCAACAGAAACCUCAACUAGCCGUACCAAGCCAAACCGAGCCGUUGACUAUCUGCUUCUCACCGUAGCCGGCGCGAUGCUGCUGAUCUUUCUCUGGUCAAGAUGCUUUUAUCUGCCAACCAGCGAUUCGCCGAAGUUCAUUUAAGACUCGGCGAGCAGCUUCCGGGAAACCAAAGUGUUUCGGUUCCGGGGGAAGUAUGGUUGCAAAGCUGAAACUUAAAGGAAUUGACGGAAGGGCACCACCAGGAGUGGAGCCUGCGGCUUAAUUUGACUCAACACGGGAAAACUCACCCGGCCCGGACACUGGAAGGAUUGACAGAUUGACAGCUCUUUCUUGAUUCAGUGGGUAGUGGUGCAUGGCCGUUCUUAGUUGGUGGAGCGAUUUGUCUGGUUAAUUCCGAUAACGAACGAGACUCUACCCUAUUAAAUAGUGACAGUAUUGUAUUUUUUGUGCUGAUCACUUCUUAGAGGGACUGGCAAAUUGAAAGCUGCACGAAAAAGAGCAAUAACAGGUCUGUGAUGCCCUUCGAUGUCCGGGGCUGCACGCGCGCUACAAUGAAAGCGUCAACGUGAGUUACGUCCUUACCUGAAAAGGUUUGGCAAUCGAAUGAAACGUUUUCUUGAAUGGAAUAGGGAAUUGCAAUUGUUUCCCUUGAACGAGGAAUUCCCAGUAAGCGUGAGUCAUUAGCUCGCGUUGAUUACGUCCCUGCCCUUUGUACACACCGCCCGUCGCUACUACCGAUUGGAUGAUUUAGUGAGGUGUUUUGACUGGCGCCAGUAGUCGGAUAUGUAUUCGGCUUCGCGCCGGGAAAUUUCCCAAACCAAAUCAUCUAGAGGAAGUAAAAGUCGUAACAAGGUUUCCGUAGGUGAACCUGCGGAAG